GCAAACUUGGUCAUUUAGAGGAAGUAAAAGUCGUAACAAGGUUUCCGUAGGUGAACCUGCGGAAGGAUCAUUAGGGGAGUUUGUGGGUUGUGUUUUUUAGCUUAGCUUAGCUUAGCUGGCACAACAACAUUGACACGGGGGGUGUUUCUUUGCAUCGUUUGAUUUUCUUUUCAAGGGUGCAGAGAAUGCCUUCUGUAAUUAAAUUUACUCGUGUGUGUUUUUGGUUUUAUUGUGUUCUUUUUGAGAAUUUAAGAAAAGACAACUUUUAACAAUGGAUCUCUUGGCUCUUGCAUCGAUGAAGAACGCAGC
rnacentral:misc_RNA from 1 species